rnacentral:sRNA from 1 species
GCGGGCAUGGUGGUGCAUGCCUGUAAUCCUAGUAGCACAGGAGGCUGAGGCAGGAGGAUCGUGAGCAACUCAGUGAGACCCUGUCUGUA